CCCGGGCGUAGCGCAGAGGCAGACGCACGUCUUGCCAGGACGAGAUACAUCGGUUCGAAUCCGAUCCCCGGGC
rnacentral:tRNA from 1 species